UGGGGAAUCUUGCGCAAUGAGCGAAAGCUUGACGCAGCGACACCGCGUGAGGGAUGAAGGCCCUCGGGUUGUAAACCUCUUUCGGCAGGGACGAAGCGGAAGUGACGGUACCUGCAGAAGAAGCUCCGGCUAACUACGUGCCAGCAGCCGCGGUAAGACGUAGGGAGCGAGCGUUGUCCGGAUUCAUUGGGGCUAAAGCGCGCGCAGGCGGCCGUGCAAGUCGGGUGUGAAAAUCCGGGGCUCAACCCCGGACCUGCACCCGAUACUGCACGGCUAGAGGUAGGUAGGGGAGAUCGGAAUUCCUGGUGUAGCGGUGAAAUGCGCAGAUAUCAGGAGGAACACCGGUGGCGAAGGCGGAUCUCUGGGCCUUACCUGACGCUCAGGCGCGAAAGCUAGGGGAGCGAACAGGAUUAGAUACCCUGGUAGUCCUAGCCGUAAACGUUGGGUGCGUAGGUGUGGGCGGAUAUUGACCCGUCGUGCCGUAGCUAACGCA
rnacentral:rRNA from 1 species